UUGCGUGUUAAAGCCUACUGGCGUUGCGCAGGAGGGGGUUACAAGGAUAAUGCAUUUUGGGCGGUAGACCAAAUGAGGAGUUACAAAUGAUUUUCUUAGCUAAAGGUCCCUGGAAAGGGCAACCAAAGAGGGUGAUAGUCCCGUAAG
rnacentral:autocatalytically_spliced_intron from 1 species